GUAGUUACUAACGGGGAACUGGACAAGACCAUGGCUUGUCCAUUGCUCAGUCUACCGUCAGCCGGUACUUGGAUCAAUUUGUAAUUGUGGUGAAUAGAAGGUAUGUCCAUUUUGGUACAGAAUACCACUGACACCGGAGAUAAGAAGGUAAAAAAACACGAGUAUGGAUGUGCAGUGAGACAUAUGAAGGCAAAAAGACGCAGUCAGUAACAAAAUAUUUAUAUUUAUUUUCUUACGUAGUUUUUUAGGGGCCAUGAAGUACAAAUGAGGUUUGAAUGUGGAUUUUUGUGGUAUUUGUAUUUGAAGUGUUUCUACCUAAAUAUUUCAAUGCAGAAUCAUACCUUAUUUUUGUUAUUAUAUGCAACUUCUUUACCACUCUUACAUAUGUAUUUAUGUAAGUAUUAUUCAAUGCUACGUGUAGCUAAAGUAUCAAAUCAUGAAAGUGUUGGAUUGUUUACAGACUCAAGGACACUUGGAUAGUCUUCCCAGAAAAUGAGAGGUGUUCAGGAGGCAUAUGGGGUUGCUAGCAUUUUAGGCACAGUAGACUGCACCCAAGUAAAAAUAUUUCCAUAACCUUUACCGCAUGGCGUACAGUUUCUAAACAGAAAAGGAAUUCAUUCGCUAAACGUUCAGUUGAAAUCUUCCAAUAAAAGGCGAACCUGAAGCGGAAAUGGAAGGGGGCGCUGCUCGAGGGAUGCAUUACAUGCAGAGAAGCGUGCCCUAUUAAUAAAUAAAUAUUUCGCCUAGUAUUAUUUUA